rnacentral:lncRNA from 1 species
AGGAAAUGGGGCAGCCAGGAGUGCUCGAGAACAGAUGGGGCCAGGCACCAUGGCCCACACUUGUAAUCCCAGCACUUUGGGAGGCCAAGGCAGGCAGAUCACUUGAGCCUCCCCAGGGAUAUGAGGCGGCUUGUGAGGUCCUCUGGAGUCAGAAGAUGCCACCACCCCAGAGGAUGUGAGCCCACCUGUGGAGGUCUUGAUCCCCACCACUAGGAUGGGGCAGCCCCAAGGUGGGUGACUACAUGAACUCCCUGUGGUGAGGGGUGAGUAGAAGCCCAUGGAAGCCUCCCCACUGCCAUGCAACCCCAUCGCAUCUCCACUGAACUCCGAGCAGAAAACGGCUGCCUGAUGGGAACUGUCAUUUAGGUUCCCAGGCUACUUUGGUGGAUCUGAGAAUAAAUCCCUCAAGACAAGGUCCUUGCUCUGCCCUUCUCCAGGGUGGGACCCAGAGUUACUGGCCCCUCCAUCCCAUGGAGCCGAUUCUGCAACCCUCACUUCCUAAGCACAGAAAUCUGGAACCACUGGUUAAAAAGAAGUCUGAGAGCCAAAAUACACACAGCCAGCUGUGAGUUACUACCUGCCUUACCCAGGAAAAGGACAUGAGCUGCCCAAGCACACACCUCUUUGCCAUCUAUGCCAGCAUUUUUACCUUCAAGGCCGAUGUUCUCA